GACGAACGCUGGCGGCAGGCUUAACACAUGCAAGUCGAACGGUUGUAGCAAUACAGCAGUGGCAGACGGGUGAGUAACACGUGGGAACCUUCCUAGGGGUACGGAACAACUCAGGGAAACUUGAGCUAAUACCGUAUACGUCCGUGAGGAGAAAGUUUUAACGCCCCUAGACGGGCCCGCGUAGGAUUAGGUAGUUGGUGAGGUAACGGCUCACCAAGCCUACGAUCCUUAGCUGAUCUGAGAGGANGAUCAGCCACACUGGGACUGAGACACGGCCCAGACUCCUACGGGAGGCAGCAGUGGGGAAUCUUGGACAAUGGGGGCAACCCUGAUCCAGCGACGCCGCGUGGGUGAAGAAGGCCUGCGGGUUGUAAAGCCCUUUCGGGUGGGAAGAAAAGUCUCGACCUAAUACGUCGGGACCUUGACGUAACCCACUAAAGAAGC
rnacentral:rRNA from 1 species